UACGGAGGGGGCUAGCGUUGUUCGGAAUUACUGGGCGUAAAGGGCGCGUAGGCGGCCCGCUAAGUCGAACGUGAAAUCCCCGAGCUCAACUCGGGAACUGCGUCCGAUACUGGCGGGCUUGAAUCCGGGAGAGGGAUGCGGAAUUCCAGGUGUAGCGGUGAAAUGCGUAGAUAUCUGGAGGAACACCGGUGGCGAAGGCGGCAUCCUGGACCGGCAUUGACGCUGAGGCGCGAAAGCUAGGGGAGCAAACGGG
rnacentral:rRNA from 1 species